rnacentral:rRNA from 1 species
UUCCAGACUCCUACGGGAGGCAGCAGUGGGGGAUAUUGCACAAUGGAGGAAACUCUGAUGCAGCGACGCCGCGUGAGGGAAGACGGUCUUCGGAUUGUAAACCUCUGUCUUUGGGGAAGAAAAUGACGGUACCUGACUAAGAAGCCCCGGCUAACUACGUGCCAGCAGCCGCGGUAAUACGGAGGAUGCGAGCGUUAUCCGGAUUUAUUGGGUUUAAAGGGUGCGCAGGCGGAAGAUCAAGUCAGCGGUAAAAUUGAGAGGCUCAACCUCUUCGAGCCGUUGAAACUGGUUUUCCUGAGUGAGCGAGAAGUAUGCGGAAUGCGUGGUGUAGCGGUGAAAUGCAUAGAUAUCACGCAGAACUCCGAUUGCGAAGGCAGCAUACCGGCGCUCAACUGACGCUCAUGCACGAAAGUGUGGGUAUCGAACAGGAUUAGAUACCCCGGUA